UGCCUCAUUUUCAGUAAUUUUGGGCCUGGGUGCUACUGCUGCCCAGACAAGUGAAUGUGGCCACGUUGGCCCACAGGUCAUGCUUCCAUCACAGUAGGCAUGUUGCUGUGAUGGCAAUGGUACCUGUGACAUGU